AAGCUCGUAGUUGAAUUUCGGGGUUAGUAGGUUGGUCAUGCCUCUGGUAUGUACUGGUCUCACUGAUUCCUCCUUCCUUAUGAACCGUAAUGCCAUUAAUUUGGUGUUGCGGGGAAUUUGGACUGUUACUUUGAAAAAAUUAGAGUGUUUAAAGCAAGCUAACGCUUGAAUACAUUAGCAUGGAAUAAUGAAAUAGGACGUUCGAUCUUAUCUUGUUGGUUUCUAGGAUUGACGUAAUGAUUAAUAGGGAUAGUUGGG
rnacentral:rRNA from 1 species